AAUUCUCAAAACCCUUUCUUUUAAGGAUUUUGGACUUGGAGGCUUUUUGCUGGCUUCACAUUGAAGCGAGCUCCUCUUAAAUGGAUUAGUGGGGUCUGCUUUGCCGAUCCUUGACGUGAUAAGAUGCUUCUACGUCUUGGGUUUGGCAUCGUACCCGCUUCUAACCGUCUCAUCGACAAUGAUGGCGCUCCGGUCACCACCGUUUCAUCGGUGGGAGGCUUGACCCACAAAAAA
rnacentral:misc_RNA from 1 species